UAUGUAAACAUACAACAAAUAAUAAUUCUCCCAUCUAUUAUCAAUCGUCUCUGGUGUAUUCAUAAGCCAUAAUAUUAAUAGAGUAUAAUCGCAAGUUUACAAGGCAACAACGAUCUAAUUCAGUCUUCGGUAAUAUCAUCUAGCCGUAUACACGCCAAUUUUAGUUUGUUGAUUUCGCGCAGCCAUAGUCUGUGUGGUGGUGAUUUUAUUGAAAAGCUCAUCAAAAUGCUGUGCAAAAGUUCGAGGCGUUUGUCCCUUGGCAAAUUCAGAAGAAAUUCUUCAUUACCUGGCUAAUGAAGUUCCUCCCUUGAUCAGUAUGGAUAACCCGUGGACAUCCAAAUCUACUGAUAAACUGUUCAGCAAGAGCAUGAGCAACGGUUACUGUAUCUAUGGUUCUUAAUGGAAUCGCAUCAGAAUAUUUAGUCAAAUUAUCCUGCAAAAUUCAUGGUGCUCCUGAAUGAUUUGAAGACGACUCGAUUCCGGUGGAACUACAAUUUCUCCAGUGCACAAGGGUUGAAUCUGUCCGGAUCUAUCAAGAUACUAAACGUUUUCGUGUCCAAGGUGUCUAAAAGAGGUUUGAGUGAUUUUAACGAGGCUUCGACGUAAUCGAGAUUAAACUCAUUUUGAUGUUCAUUCUUAUAAAAUAAAAAGAAGACGGAAUGUUUAUCAUGCGGAAAAGCCAUGGCAUUGCCGAUUUCAAAUUGAUAUUGUUGUACUUCCCCUACCGAGAAUCCAAUUCGGUUUAACAAACCCACAGUGGUUUGAGAUGUAUCAAUACAAUUUAAAGGAAUAAAAUGAACGAGAUUGUCUUGUCUCAUGAAUAAGUUGUCUUUUACAUCGAGAAUAGUGGGUAAGGAAGAAGGAUGUACCGCAGGUCUGUUUACUGUAUCAUCUGCAUUAUUAAUUAAAACUCUACCCUGACUGUUAUCUGUA